AAAUUGGUAUUUAUCAUGCUGCAUCAACCGCUGCUGCGUAUUGGCGCUGACGAGCCGUGGGGCCGCCGUCUUGGACUGGUCAUCCGACCCACUCCACUCAGUGAUGUUUGGCGGGUGCAGUGCAUUUAAUCCAUCGGAACUCUCUGAA